rnacentral:rRNA from 1 species
AUACGGAGGGUGCGAGCGUUAAUCGGAAUUACUGGGCGUAAAGCGUACGUAGGCGGUUGGUUAAGUUAGAUGUGAAAGCCCCGGGCUUAACCUGGGAACUGCAUUUAAAACUGGCGAACUAGAGUUGAGUAGAGGGGAGUGGAAUUUCAGGUGUAGCGGUGAAAUGCGUAGAGAUCUGAAGGAACACCAGUGGCGAAGGCGACUCCCUGGACUCGAACUGACGCUGAGGUACGAAAGCGUGGGUAGCAAACGGGAUUAGAAACCCUAGUGUCC